GUGCUCAGGUUUGUCUUCAUUGACACAUAAAUCUUUUGCCUUUUACUAAAGAUUUCCAUGGAGAGGAAUGUUAAUGAGUUCAAAAUGAUUAAUUUUUCUGUAAUUUUUAAAAAAAUGU